AUUGAACGCUGGCGGCAGGCCUAACACAUGCAAGUCGAGCGGAUGACGGGAGCUUGCUCCUGGAUUCAGCGGCGGACGGGUGAGUAAUGCCUAGGAAUCUGCCUGGUAGUGGGGGACAACGUUUCGAAAGGAACGCUAAUACCGCAUACGUCCUACGGGAGAAAGCAGGGGACCUUCGGGCCUUGCGCUAUCAGAUGAGCCUAGGUCGGAUUAGCUAGUUGGUGAGGUAAUGGCUCACCAAGGCGACGAUCCGUAACUGGUCUGAGAGGAUGAGAAGUCACACUGGAACUGAAACACGGUACAGACUCCUACGGGAGGCAGCAGUGGGGAAUAUUGGACAAUGGGCGAAAGCCUGAUCCAGCCAUGCCGCGUGUGUGAAGAAGGUCUUCGGAUUGUAAAGCACUUUAAGUUGGGAGGAAGGGUUGUAGAUUAAUACUCUGCAAUUUUGACGUUACCGACAGAAUAAGCACCGGCUAACUCUGUGCCAGCCGCCGCGGUAAUAC
rnacentral:rRNA from 1 species